CACCGGUUCUCGUACGAUCACCGAAGUUAAGCAACAUCGAGCCUGAUCAGUACCUAGAUGGGUAACCUCUAUGCAUGAACGUGCAGGUGG